ensembl:lncRNA
GAAAACUCAGACUUGUCUGACUCUGACCCAGAGAUUGUUAUUAAAAGGCCCUCUGAGUUUGAUCUUGCUGAUACAUUGCCAUGGGAACUUCAACAUGAAAGCAGUCCUUUACAGAAAGCAGCAGAAUAUGAGAAGGGUGCUGGGGAUCUUGUGCUUGCUAAUGAAGUACAACAGGUAGAAAACUAUUUUAUUAGUAAAACAGUGCAGCAGACAAUCUCCACCGCCUUUACUUUGCAAUUAGAUAACGAUUCACUGUUUGCUGAGCCCCCAGAAGAACCUGUGUUAGUAAUUUAAACAUUUGAAUCCAAUUAACCGCCAUCUUGUUUUAUACAAGACAUCAUGCAAUCAUGAGAGAAGUAUAUAUACCUUUAAAAAAAAAAAAAAAGUUUCCCUUUUUUUUUAGAGACACCAAUUUGCAGGCACAUGGAAUUAUUGCAAAUUUGGCACUGGAACUUGACCACAAGAAGGUCAGCAGGUUCAAUAUAUCAAGGUCAGCUGUAUGGGAUGGAGCUGUUAGAGGAUUUCGACGCAGCACAUACUCUGACAACUACGACAUGUUCAUCAAGUUUAAUGAUGAUGCUGGCAGCUUUGAAGAAGGUUUGGAUACAGGUGGCCCGGUGAAUUCCUCACACUUCUUAUGGGCAGUCUGCGAAAUCGCCCCAUCUUUGAUGGACCUCCAGAGAGCCGUUAUCUUGUAUAUAAUUCAAGAGCUGCCAGGCAAGAUGAGUACUUUUUAGCAGGAAAGAUGAUCGCUGUAUCCAUUGUGCAUGGGGGACCAGCACCACAUUUCCUCUCCAAGAACCUGGUCAACCACAUCACAGGGAAUCAGAGUUUCAGCGCCACUGUAGAAGAUGUGCAAGAUGAGGAGAUCACAAAAAUUUUACAUCAGGUCCUGAAAGCUGAAUCAGAGGAGUCUUUGCAUAAUCUUAUUUUGCAAAACAGCACAAUCUUCAAACUGCUGGAUGCCUCAGAAACGUCAAGCCUUUUGAGAAACAAGCAUUUGUGGAGGAGUACCUCAGAUGGUACAUCCUUGAAAGAAACCAAAGUGUCAUUCAAC